rnacentral:tRNA from 1 species
GCUCCGAUAGUGUAGUCCGGCCAAUCAUCUCGGCCUUUCGAGCCGAGGACCGGGGUUCAAAUCCCCGUCGGAGCAC